ensembl:lncRNA
GCGCUCUGCCCUUUAAUCCAAACAUGGUAACUUUGGUUUCAAAACAAGGAAGCUGGAGAUGCUUAGAUACUAAAAUUGAGCCUUCAAAACAGAACUUUACAUGGGUGAUGAUAUGGUUGCCAAGACAUCUUUAAACAAACACGGAGGAAGUAAACAAAACUGAGAACAGAAUCGCAAGUAAGCAACAUUACAAAAAAAUAACCUCCUUGGCAGAGCUGGACACUGCCUCAACUCUAGUGAGUGCAGUGGGCAGUGGACACUGGAGAGGACAGUCAAUCAAUCAAUCAAUAACACAUGUUUGCUGAGGUUUCUCUAGUUGUUGUUCCUGAAUGGUAGGUACAGUGUCCUGGUCCCUCAGUCCUCCUGUCCUGCCUGCUCCAGGCUUUGCCUUCUCUCUGUCCUUCACUCUCUCCUCUCUGUGUGCUUGUGUGUCUGUGUCAAUGUUCAUGGGAAGGACUCAUUGUGGGUUCCCGCCUCUGGCUGAACACACCUGCAACAAUCAAUCACCUGUUCUCGAUGAUCUCGUUAAGAAGCACUAUUUAAGAGGGCGGCUGAGGUUCAUUCUUCUCUGGAUCGUUGAACUGUGCUGUUAGUAAAGCCGUGGCUCUUUUGUCUUUUCCUUGCCUUUAUAAACUCGCAACUAAUCUCAUCCUUCUUCCUCUUGUAUACAGACCUUCCCUGGAUUUUCCCUGUCCUGGAGUUCUUGGAGAGACUGCUUGAGCUGAGUCAGUGUGGAUCCCCUGUUCCCCCUUCGUACUACCUGUAUAUAUCACCCUGGCGUUUCACUGUAAAUAAAUGCACUAAACUUGAUCCCUCUGAGUCCUGCCAUUGAGUCCACUCCAUCCAGCAUUCCUGACAUAUAGUAGCCAAACAGUUAUAUAUUAAUAAUAAAUAAAAGAUCACACUUGGAACUCAGGGAAAAGCAAAACGAUCUUCAGCGCCAUUCUUUACGUCUGGUGGCUUUA